AGGCUCCUGCUACCUUCUGCGGGCGGAACGUGGGUGUCCCGAGAAGAGACCGACCCCAUCUCUACUAUGCCGCCAGCGCGUUGUGUCAGCAAGCUGGCUGUGGACGGCCCGAUGAGCGUGACUUGAUUUUGUACUUUCUGCCCCCUCCAAUUUUCUCAGAAUGCAACAUAAGAAAAAGAACUAAGAGCAGUGUGUGCAGGAAAGCUUCGAAGAUACGGGUGCAGAGGUUUGGUCACUGCUAUGGGGGAGGUCGCAGAGCUGAGAGGACGCUUUCUGUCCUGUCUGGAGAAGAAGCCGAGCUGCAAAGAUGAGCUACAAAGAACAUCCUCAGAGCUGUCAAAAAGAAUCAGAGGAGAAAGGCUCAGAGAAGACGCUGAGACCUGACCAGCUGCUUGGAAAAAGCAGAAGCCAGCUGAGCUGUCUGGAAGAAGUUUAGACCAACCGAGGCACUGGAAAGGACACUCCAUCUCCAACCUGCUGAGCUUCGUAAGUGCUGUGUGUCCCAGGUCCCCAGCUUUGUGAGCUGUGGCCCAUGCUGGGGUCGCUUUGGUGAUAUUGCUGCUUUUGAGUCAUUUCUACUCCUGUAAGUAAUUCUUCAUCCAGACUCUUGUGAGCAACCCCAAUAAAACUCAUUGGUUCACCAAACUAGACCUUGGUGGUAUCAGGUCUGUUAUGAGUUCCCUGUCUGGUGUGAGUGAAUAUGUGUGUUGCAUCUCCGCCCCCCCAAAAGUUUUGUCACACAAGUGGUUUCCUAAAGACUGGGGUGCUGGGAUGGAGUAAAAAGGGGAAGUCAGCCUCUCCCUCCCUACCAUGGUCCCCUUCUCUUCCUCCCUCUCUAGUUCUCACUGUCUUACUUUCUCCACCAUCUCCUUCCCUCCUUGUUUCCUCUCUCCCCAUCUCUCCCCCCCACUUCUCUCUCCCCAUCUUUUGUUAGGAGAUAGUUUCCUGAGUUCAGCCAUCUCAGGAAUGAGUUCCCCAUCUCUCUGGCAGCAUCAAAGCUGAGCUCCUGUUCCCAGGCCCCGGAACCCAACUCCAUCCUGCUUCUUCAGAUGUUUCGUGUUUGUCUGCUAAGCAGUAAAGGAUGUAAAGAGGGAAGACAGUGUUAUCUAUUAUCUAAACUAAGGCACACAAGGCACAAGUGUGCUGCCUGUCUUGACUUAAUUGACUACAUGCAACUUGCCACUCCUUUGUUCCCUGAUCAUUCUAAAAUUCCAGGUCAGCGUCCAGGAGGGGAUUUGAGCCAGCAGCUAGCUCAAGGUGACCCAGAUAAGUCUCAGUUACCAAUGUUAACUUCCUUGUUUAACCCCUUGUGCUAAAAUAUGAUUGGUCAAUGCAACAGUUCACUCCACCACCCUCCCUUGCUUUGUGUUUCCGUUCUAUAAAAAUGUCGUGCAAUCUCCUUUCGGGAUACAGUUCAGAUCCUGAACUGGCUGCCUCCCUGGGCUCUUAGAAAAUAAAACUUUUCAUUUUAAGCUUC
rnacentral:lncRNA from 1 species